AGCGAACGUUUGCGGCGGGCUUAACACAUGCAAGUCGAACGAGAAUCCCUUCGGGGAGGAAAGUGGCGCAUGGGUGCGUAACACGUGGAUAACCAACCCAUUGGUUUGGGACAACACCGGGAAACUGGUGCUAAUACCAGAUGUGUCGCAGCUGUCUUCAGGCGGUUGCGAGAAAGGCCCGCAAGGGUCGCCAACGGACGGGUCCGCGUCCCAUCAGCUAGUUGGUGAGGUAAUGGCUCACCAAGGCAAAGACGGGUAGCUGGUCUGAGAGGAUGAUCAGCCACACUGGAACUGAGACACGGUCCAGACUCCUACGGGAGGCAGCAGUGGGGAAUAUUGCGCAAUGGGCGAAAGCCUGACGCAGCCACGCCGCGUGAGCGAUGAAGGUCUUCGGAUCGUAAAGCUCUGUGGGGGGAGAAGAAGAAAGCCGGUGAAGAGCCGGCCCUGACGGUAUCCCCUUAGCAAGCACCGGCUAACUCCGUGCCAGCAGCCGCGG
rnacentral:rRNA from 1 species